rnacentral:rRNA from 1 species
AGCCUGCAACUCGGCUGCAUGAAGCUGGAAUCGCUAGUAAUCGCGGAUCAGAAUGCCGCGGUGAAUACGUUCCCGGGUCUUGUACACACCGCCCGUCACACCAUGGGAGUUGGAAAUGCCCGAAGUCAGUGGCCCAACCUACGGGAGGGAGCUGCCGAAGGCAGGUUCGAUGACUGGGGUGAAGUCGUAACAAGGUAAC